rnacentral:rRNA from 1 species
GACGAACGCUGGCGGCGUGCCUAAUACAUGCAAGUUGAGCGCUGAAGGUUGGUACUUGUACCAACUGGAUGAGCAGCAAACGGGUGAGUAACGCGUGGGGAAUCUGCCUUUGAGCGGGGGACAACAUUUGGAAACGAAUGCUAAUACAGCAUAAAAACUUUAAACACAAGUUUUAAGUUUGAAAGACGCAAUUGCAUCACUCAAAGAUGAUCCCGCGUUGUAUUAGCUAGUUGGUGAGGUAAAGGCUCACCAAGGCGAUGAUACAUAGCCGACCUGAGAGGGUGAUCGGCCACAUUGGGACUGAGACACGGCCCAAACUCCUACGGGAGGCAGCAGUAGGGAAUCUUCGGCAAUGGACGAAAGUCUGACCGAGCAACGCCGCGUGAGUGAAGAAGGUUUUCGGAUCGUAAAACUCUGUUGGUAGAGAAGAACGUUGGUGAGAGUGGAAAGCUCAUCAAGUGACGGUAACUACCCAGAAAGGGACGGCUAACUACGUG